CCUACGGUGGCAGCAGUGGGGAAUAUUGGGCAAUGGAGGAAACUCUGACCCAGCAAUGCCGCGUGACUGAAGAAGGUCUUCGUAUUGUAAAGUUCUCUAGUCAGGGAAGAAUAACAUGACUGUGCGUGAAGAAUAAGCUCCGUCUAACUACGUGCCAGCAGCCGCGGGCAUACGUAGGGAGCAAGCGGUGUUCGGAAUGACUGGGCGUAAAGGGUGGGUAGGCGGUUAUACAAGUUAGGAGUGAAAUACCCAGGGCUUAACUCGGGUGGUGCUUCUAAAACUGUAAGGCUAGAGUGCAGUAGAGGUUAGUGGAAUGCCUAGUGUAGCGGUGGAAUGCGUAGAGAUUAGGAAGAACACCAGAGGCGAAGGCAGCUAACUAAGCUGCAACUGACGCUGAGGCACGAAAGUGUGGGGAGCAAACAGGAUUAGAUACCCGAGUAGUC
rnacentral:rRNA from 1 species